rnacentral:rRNA from 1 species
CCUACGGGCGGCAGCAGUCGAGAAUCAUUCACAAUGGGGGAAACCCUGAUGGUGCGACGCCGCGUGGGGGAAUGAAGGUCUUCGGAUUGUAAACCCCUGUCAUGUGGGAGCAAAUUAAAAAGAUAGUACCACAAGAGGAAGAGACGGCUAACUCUGUGCCAGCAGCCGCGGUAAUACAGAGGUCUCAAGCGUUGUUCGGAAUCACUGGGCGUAAAGCGUGCGUAGGCUGUUUCGUAAGUCGUGUGUGAAAGGCGCGGGCUCAACCCGCGGACGGCACAUGAUACUGCGAGACUAGAGUGAUGGAGGGGGAACCGGAAUUCUCGGUGGAGCAGUGAAAUGCGUAGAUAUCGAGAGGAACACUCGUGGCGAAGGCGGGUUCCUGGACAUUAACGGACGCUGAGGCACGAAGGCCAGGGGAGCGAAAGGGAUUAGAUACCCCUGUAGUC